CCCCCCCCUUCCUUCUCUUUCUCCCCCUUCUAGUGAAACUCAAUGCUCUCACCCUCCCCUCUAACUGAAGCAAAGUUCAAGUUUGGUACCAAACCAAAACCCUAGGUUCCUCUUUCGCUUCUUCCUCCUUACCCUCUUGUAGAUCGGCACGUUGUCCCCAUCCUCCGUCUUCAUAUUCUCGGCGUCAUCGUCAACUCGUCAUCUUCUCUCCAUCAUCUGGUCGGCAUCUUCUGUCAAUCAACGGUCGGUCGGCGUCGUCUUCGAAGCGAAUGCAUGUCUUGCUGCCGUGAGCCCAAGGACUGUGAGCUAGUCCGCGAGGACUACCUCGGGUGCCUCCAUCACUCCAAAGAGGUAGGCCACGGUUGAACCGGUUAGACCAGUGAACCAGUGAUCAGAACGGUUCGAUGACAGGUCCGAUUUUCAGAACCUUGGAAAAAACCUUAGAGUCCCUCGUCCUCUCCUGCUCCCGCCGCUACCAAGCGCCCACGCCACCACUACCAUCAUUACCAUCGUCGUUGUCGAACUACUCUCCGUCGGCAGAUCCGCAGUUCUGGCAUUACACUAAGAUUAAGUGAUUGAGAAGAGAAUUCCGGUCCCUUGAAGAAUAAGAUUACACAAGAGGCUAUAGCGGACAUUCUACGAUGAUUUAGUCACUACCGAGGCAGUUGGGACAUUGCGAAUCGCCAUUAUUGGGUUGAAUACAGUGAAUUUGAAGAAACUGAUGGAGAAUCAGAUUUUGAUGAAUAAGGCCCAUGUAAUUAUCAGUUAGCUAGAUAGAAGGUUUGGACCUGUUUGAAUUGAAGCUGCUUGGUCUGAAAUUUGUACAUCUAGUAUCCCUUGUUCCGCCAGAACAAGAUUCACGCUUCCUCUGCGUCGAACCCGAACCGCAAUUCAAAGGCCGGUUGUUAUAGGGUUAUGGCAAACAAGAAAGACAAAGCUUUAAGGUCAAGCAUCAAUGAGAGAUAUCAUCUAUGAACAAAAAGAACAAAUUGGAUCAGGUCCUCGUCAAUCCCAAUUAAUAUCCACUGUGAUGAAAAGUAGAGGAUUGAAAGGUGGUUCUAUGGUUAAUAUCAUUGGUGAGCUAGAGGAUACUGCAUCAAGCUCUUCACAAACACCUUUAGUACCGCAUGCUAAUGAUGACAGACCAACAACCAAGAGGAAAAGGAGUCGGACAAAUGCCUUAAAACUCAUGGUUUAAGCUAUGAGGAUCAGCUGCCAAUUAGAUUAAAUAAACGUGGCCAACCAAUUGGUUGCAAUAGAGCCAAGUUAAGCAGUCAUUUGGGGACUUUGGUUAGAACUUAGAAAUGCAUGCCUUGCUCCGUUGACAAACAUAAGUUGGCGUGGACUUAAAGAUAAUGGGAAGAUUUGUGAGAAGUUACCAUUGGGUUACGUUUUUACUCUUUUAGCUUUAGUGUUUUUCUUUCUUUAUUGGUUUUAAAAACUAAAUAUUAAUUAUCAUGUCUAUGAUCAUUAUGGUGUAGGAAAAGUGUGACAUUUGAGUACUUGGUAAAGGGUGGGUUUUCAAAACCUUAGGUUCAUCUUGGAGGACAUAUAAAAGUUGGUUGAAAAAACAAUAUUUUAAGGAGAACAUGCCACUAGCUUACAAUAUGAAGAAUUAAUAUGUGAAGAGUUGAUUGUGUUUUUUCUUAAUAGGCAAUGAAAAAUCCUAAUAGAAGAGAACCAUGUCGGGUGAACAUGUUCUUUCUAACACACAAGCCAAGAGAUGAAAAAUCAAUGAGUGAGAGAACAAGCAAAACUUUUUUAGAGCUUGAGGAUGGCAUAGCUUCACAUUCUGAAAAAUUAGAAAGCACAAACCAAGAUGAUAUACUCUCCCGAGUGUUGGGGAAAAAAUAACUCGGUCGUGUCCGAACUUAUGGUAGAAGUGUUGUAGCUUCAGAUUUGUGGGGGCCUAAAUCUCAAGACGGAAAGGUUAAUUGAAGAAGUUAAAGAGAAUGUUCAAGUUGAAAUUCAAAAUAUACAGCAAAAGAUGCAAGAGGAGAUGGAAACAAAACUUCAAGAAAGAGUGGAGGCCAUGAAGUCACAGAUGUUGUGUGGAUUUAAUAUGUUUUUAAAUCAGAAUUCCAAAUCUCUCUUUUGUAUGUUUUUAAAUCAGAAUUCCAAAUCUCUCUUUCAUGUCAACUACUCUAUCUGAUAAGUAGAAGCUACUGCAACAACACAGCAUGAAGUUACUGUUUUGCUAUUGAGAAAGAGGUGUUUUUAUCUUUGUAUGUUUUUAAAUCAGAAUUCCAAAUCUCUCUUUCAUGUCAACUACUUUAUCUGAUAAGUAGAAGCUACUGCAACAACACAGCAUGAAGUUACUGUUUUGCUAUUGAGAAAGAGGUGUUUUUAUCUUUGUA